GGUGACAGGAAAUCGGGUUUGCCCAUUUUAGCCCGUUGAAACUCUUACGAUUUAAAAUAUUUGAAGAAAACGACGACACGAAUUAGCCAAAGGACACGAAAAGUAAACACUUCCGGUUCUCCUACGACGGUUACGCUGUUCCACGCUCCAACACAUAAACGAUCGUGGAGAAAACAACACGAAGAAGAAAACUUGUACUCCGGGAGAAGUUUUCCACGUUUUUGGAGUGAAUAUUUUGAAAAGACAUCUACUGGCGUCCUCAAUGAAAGACUUGUGGCUCUUCGAACUACUGUACCUGCACGUUCAACAGAUGCCUUCGCGUACAGAUAAGUUUUGUCUCCCCAGCGAGGAUGGCGGCACCUGAAAAACACGACAUGGUUCGCAGUCAACGUCUAAAUUCAGCCCCACGAGCCCGGUUGAAAAUCAAGAGAGGUGCUUCGCAGCAGACCCAGCAAAGUCCCAAAAGGCCCCCCCCCCACCAAAUAUUACAGCGAGUCAGCCAUUUUGUUGAAGAUUUGAACCUGCAAUCAGAAAUAAAUGAACGGUAAACACAUAUGGAACGACUUUAUUCAGUUGAAUAAAGGAUAUGCUGUACAGCCAA